rnacentral:lncRNA from 1 species
CACUUGAGUAGAUCUCUAUAAAUGCUGUCAUGCUACCUUUGUCUAUUUACUAGUAAGUGUUAGUUUGGAAGUAAUGCACAUACUUCUAUUGGCUUUUAAAUUAAGCAUGGUGCUUAGGUUAAACAGCCUUCCUUAAUCUGAUUAGACAUGGAGUCUAGUUCGGUUAUUGAACUAAAAAACUGCUUGUGUAGACAUUGGUAUAUUUUUGUCGGACUAACCCCUGCAGAAAAACUUUCAAUAUCGAUUUCGGAAGUCCUGAGAUAAACUCACAUCAGAGACGAAGAGAGUGACACAUGAAGUUUAACAAUUUGCACAAGAAGGACGUAGCUCAUUCAUCAUAGAGAGAUGAUCCAUGGAGGGUGCCACAAACACGAUGCACAACCGCUAAGAAAGGAAAGCUUCCACAAGGUGAUACUGUACCAUCACUUUUCAAGCAAGGUAACAUCUUAAGGUACUUGACUAUCACUUUUAUAAGCUUCUCCUUGGUUCUGGCGUUCAUAUAAAUAAAAGAGACAAACAUGUAUGAUUUACAACUUUAGAUUAACCAACCCAACUGAUUCAACAUGUUUAGUCCUUUAAUCCUUGUUCUUAGUACUACCUCCAUGAUCCCACACUCCUAAUCAUAUGAGCUAAAAUGUUACACACUCAAUCUUUGAGAGAUAUAAAGAAAAAGACAUUCCAUAAGGUUGAGCGAUCUGAUCUGACAAAUGUUAUAAGUGCUACACUCAUGAACUUUUCAUCCAUCAACUUUGUCUUGCUCACUAUGCUUAGGGUUAGAGAAGAACAAAUACACUUUAGGUUCUGUUGGUGUUUUGCACCAACAGAACCCAUGCACUUGAUCUCUGCCUUGUCUCUAUGAGCAGGUACACUUUGAGCAAAACACGGAGGAGUUUUAUAACUCUCAGACUCUACCAAGUGAAGGAUCUGGAUCUACGAGCACAAACACACUGAGCAGGUUACUGCCAACGCCGCACUUCAAACUGCUGGGCAAACGAAGAGGUGCAGACGUCAAAGUCCGCACCUGAAUCAAAUGACGCACCUGAAGAAUGAACACGGUGAGAAGUCUUGUUAAGAAGACUUAAAACAUUGAACCCUCGCCGAAAGGUAAGCUCGGUAGUUAUCCAUAUUUAUCCUUUCUGCAUUCCCUUUUCCCUUUACUUAUUUACUUUCCUUAAAUAGAUUAUUAGUUAAUCAUGCUAUCUUGAAAAGAAAAUAAAAAUGUUAAAAAAUACUAAGCCCCAUGUGAGUAUACGAGUGACAUAAAACCCAUAAGUACCUUCACUGUGGUGGCAUAAAAAUAAAAUAAAUAUUUAUUUUCUGCAUUAUAAAAUAAAAAUAUAAAAACAGGGAGUAAUAUUUAUUGAGGAAGCUCAACAUGAUGAAGGCUAGAUAUUUAUGCUAACACUUAAUUAGUUCCACAAGCUUUGUUGUCUAUUUGAGCUUCACAGAAUUUAAGAAUCAAGAAGACUAGCAGACGGAGGACAUUCUAUUCGCUGUCAGAAUGUUGCUGACUUUCAAAUACACCUCUGCCACCUGCUAGCUACAUCAAGAGAAAUUACGUCAAAAUUCAGCUUGGGGGAGAGCACCCACAUUUAUCUCGCUAAGUAUUUCUACCUAUCUUUAUACUUAUAUUAUAUUAGAAUGUUAAAAUACAUAAACUAUGAAAACCAAAUAAAGAUUUUGUGCUUAUAUAUAUAUAUCUUUUGCUUAGUGUGUUUAAUAAAUAAAGUGGCUAUGCUAAUCUGAAUCUUAAUAAUAAAACUCUAGCAUGGAUAUGAUGAAUAGUUGCUCUGCCUAAUUUGCAAAUUUGAAGUUCUCUCUCAAGUUUAGACAUAACUGUUAUAAUUUAAAGCUUGCUCUAGAUCUAAAUUUGUGGGAUAAAAACUUGAUCUGAAAUCUAAGUUGUUAACGGAUAUGAUAUGGGAUGGUUGAGCUGCUGUUUAUCUGUUCCUAGAGAUGCUAGAAUUCUGGAGAAUUUUAUCUUUGAAAAAUCUUUAAAAUAUUGCAUGAUGAGUUCCUGUAUGAUGAAAGUUUAAAUUCCUAGAACAGCCAUAUAUACAUGCUUGCUAGACUUUGAGCCACAUAUUUACUAUUUACUGCUUAUGAGCAUUGUGUGUGGUCAAGCUGUGUAGACCCUUAGGAGCUUGUCAUGUGGUUAAAUCAAGAUUCACUUGCACGUUCACUCAUAUAUGCUACUUCUACUCCGGAAGUACCAUCCACAUAUAUCCAUCCAUGUUCAUAUCCAGAACCACCCAAAAAUAUUCUAUUCCUAAUCCGGGAGAGAAUAGCCAAAAAUAUUUCUGUUUUCCCUUGUGAAAUAAAUGCUCAAGUUAUCUUGCUACCACCACUUGCUAUAUUAUCUCAAGAGAUGAGUGCUCUGAAAAAAAGAAAAGAGAAAAAAAAUAAAAAAUAGUAAACGAGGAAAUAAAAAGGGGCAAGUGCCCGGAACCUCGAAAGAAAGAAAAAGUGAGACAAGAGGUAAAAAUGGACAAGUGUCCGACAGUAGAAUUAGGGGUACAGGAUACCCACGUGAGAGGAAAGAAAAAAAAUGAAUGAAAGAUAGAGCAUCUCAUUCUCCUCAUAAAGUUUCAAAAAGCAAGGAAGGUAUGUAUCCCCUCAAAAGAGCAAAAGUAGAAUUAGACUUCCACCAUUGUUAUCACCAUCAUCACCAUACACCAUUCAUUCGCCACACAUGCACAUCUUGAUUUGGCUUAUUGACUUGUUUCUCUGGAUCCAUGGUUUGACUAUGCAAUAAAUGUCUUGUAAGUAUGUAUUAGCUGUCUCCCACCUAUGAGCUCCAGAUAUUAAAGCCUUAUUAGAGUAGGGUGAGAGAGAAGGCAUAUACCAUCACUGCCUUGGUAAGGAUCCAGAAAUACCACAAAAGAGAGAUUUAGAGAGUCAUACAAGGAAUCUCUGAGUUUUAUAUGAAAAUCUGCAAAAACUCCAGAGCUAUAGCAGAUCAAGAAUAAGAGACAUGGCACUUGGCUAGACUGCUCUAUCUUUUAACUACUCAAGACAGAAGUGACGGUUACAAGUCCCAUGGUGAAAGGUAAAGUAGGUAAGUUUUAUUUCUUGACAGUUUACUCUAACUCAGAGAUGAGAUCUUAUUUAAAAGCAUGUGUACCGUCAAAUUUUUAAGAUAUUGCAACAACUUCUAAUCCAUUGCUGAGUCUGUCCUUGCUCAGGGACGAGCAAGAGGUAAGCUUGGGGGAGUUUGUUGACGGUCCUUAAGUAUCAAAUUUAAUUAUCAAAUAAACAAAGAAAAGGAUCCAAAUGAAAUCAACAUCUAGACUUAGGGUUUUAUCUGACAGAAUUCCACGAGUUUUGGUGUUUGUCUAUUUCUGCAGGGGGUUAUCAGGAAAUACGGAAGAAAGGCCCACACGUUGGGAUUACAUAAAGAUAUUAACGUGCCGCGCAAUUAUCUUACAUCUAGAAGACUCCAAAAGCCAUGGGAAGGAAGCGGAGGCCGAACGGGGCCAGAGGCAGGGCGCCCGCCCUCCUGCCCUGGGCGCCCGCCCACCUCUAGAGCCCAAUCGGGACUCUUUCUCUCGGGAGAUCUCCGCCGACCUAAAGGAUCAAGAAUAACCGUCCAAUCAAUGUCGGUUUGAUCCGACGGCCUAGGUUCACUUGAGGGGACUAUAUAACCAGACCCCCUGGCCCCUGUAGGAGGCACCCCUUGAUCAUUAUUCAUUAUUCAUAGACAGAGCAAAAGCUAGGGUUUAGAGAUGAGAGCUCUCUUCUCUUCUCUAAACUAGAGUAGAUCUAGAUAGUAGCAAGAUGGAG